ACACACACACACACACACACACACACACACACACACACACACACACACACACAAGGUCUAAGACAUGAAAACAGGCUAAACAAUACUGAACGAUACUUCUGUUCAUCUGUGUUCAUCAUGUUUCAUGACAGACCAGAAGAGCUCCUUAUCAAAGGUUCAAGAAGUCCGCCGGUUAUCUUGGGCUUCUUCCAUUUGCCCUCUUCUCUGGAAAUCAAAUCAGCCAGCGUGCAAGCUUCCCGCCUGAAGUGUGCGAGCGCGGGCUCAUUCUUCAUGAUUUGCGAGAAGCUCUUUUCAUCAACAGGUCAUUUGGGCUCACUUGGACACAAAGCUCCUGAUUUUGAUAGCUGCUAAGCAGGCGUUCAGCUCUAGAUGAGCAUCCGUGGUCUCAUCUUUCAUAGUGAACCAUAAGUUAUCCUCAUGAAAGAUCUUUAGAGUAAAACGUCUAAUAACUUGCACCAGUCGCCUAUUAAAAAAGCUGCGUUAAGAGCUAACUGGUACCGACUAAAAAUUUUUUGCAUCAUAUAAAAUAGGAAACGCCUUCUGUGCACAGGUUGUGCAAAUUAACUUGAAGCACAUGCUUAGUUUGCUUGUUUAUUGGGUACAAUUGGGUAAAUCCUGCUUUCAUAAUGGUUACAUUGUUCAGUUUCAUCAGGUUAUCCUAUGUUAAAGAUGGCCGUGAAAUGUGUUCGGGUUAAAGCUAAUCCCAUCUGCUUAUUAUAUGGAACGUUUUUUAGGCAGGUGCUUUGAGAAAAUUAUUCACAGUGUUUGACUAAAUCCAUCUGUCAUUACUUAAUUAAUAUUCCACAGAGUUUCCAUUACUCUGGAUAAUUCACAGAGCUCUUUAGAUUGAUUGUAAUUGUAUUGGCAUCAAAGCAGAAAUAGCAGAGGCUGAUUACCACCAGACCGAGCUGCAAAAAAUACACCUUUUUAGGUUUAGUUUGAUAUUUUUUUUAAACACUUUUACAUUUUUUCACUUGUACACAAAACACAGGUGUGAUCCUUGUUGGUUUUUUUGUUUUUUUUUCGUCUGAACACCCACACCACACACACACACGCACCCCAGGCGGGGCACUUAGUAGUUGGUAUUUGGAGCAGUGUGUGAACAAAGUGCUUUUCAUGGUUUUGUUUUGCUAGUGUGUAGCAGGCUCAUUAUAGAGAGUCAGGGGAAGUUCACUUCUGGAUUCGUAAAGGAACUUCACCACUCCAUACGCCAUCCAAAAAAUAUCUAAAAGAGUCAAACACAUAAAAUGUUCGAAUAUGGACACACACACACACACACACACACACUUGGAGGUGGUGAACACCAAAACACACACAUACACGGGAACAUUAACCAAUUAACACUCUGAAACAAAUCGGAGUAGUUUGGUUGGCGAAACCAUGAAGAUACUCGUUUACAUCAUCCAUGUUGUUUUAAGAGGCUGGAUGUCUUCGUAUGUGUGCGUGCGCGUGUGUGCGGCGGUGCGUUACUCUGUAUGUUGAUGGGGGUCUGAUAGAAAAAUCCUGGUGACUUGGGCUAUGCAUCAAAGGCCUGCGGAGAAGCCGCACGGCAUCUGGGAGCAAUAACGUUGCUUCUAACCCUUCAUUACCACAAAGACUGGGCCCUGGGUGGCAGCCAAUGGUAAUUUUCACAACCCUCCUCCUCACCUCCCUCUGCUUUUCUUUCCCUCCAUUCUUCUGCCAUUUUCCCUAUUGACUUCUGUCUUUAAGAAGAAAAAAAAAUUAAACACAGGGGAUUUUUUUUUUAAAAAGGCGCACGGAGAAAGUAGUAUAGUGUGAGGCUCAGUGGGUUUGAUGCACUUGUUCAGACCAAUUUCAUCAAUUUAUAGAUUUUUGUAGGAAUAGAUUUGUUACAACGUUCUUGUAGAAAAGAUUUGUUUGUGAACAUAAGCAUCUUUUCGUUGUGUGUAACGAAAAAAAACACACUAACGUACGCAAAACCCAUGUUUGGUUUGUGAGCAACAUAUGAGAAACAGCAGAGACAGCAUCUGAGGAAACUUAAUUUGACUUAAUGCUGUUUGGACUUUAUUUAAAGUAAGGCCACAUGUUGCCAAUAUUUAAAUGAGGAACAGACAAUGAUUUAGCUAAGAGAAUUAGAACGCUGAAGAGCUGGAUUGGAGCUAUUCUGGGGCAGUGUGUAAAAACACACAGCUGUUCAUGACUCAUCUGGCUAAAGAUUGCGCAAUAAUGCUCAUAACAAAUCACCUUGAGCAACGUGCCAGGGCCCACACGCCAUAAUACUCCAUUUAUCAUGCAAAAGUGGCUUUUUGAUAACAGUGCAGACAUUAAGGGUGUUUUCUUUUAACCAGCAUGUCAGCUGCACAUGUUUCAGGAACUCAAAUCUAAUCUGAAACGUCCAAUUUUGCAGUGAUAUGAACAUUAAUUCUCACAUUUUCUUUUUUAUGACAAGGUUUUGGCUCCUUCGAUUAUCUUUUUUCAUUCCUUCUUUCAGAAAAAAGAAAACCCAACAGCCUUUGAGCUUUGCUUUGAGAUUUUCCUUUGGGAACUGCACAAAUGUGAACAAACGUCUUUGUGGAGAGAGGAAACAUGCUGUCUGCAGUUGAACGCAGCCUGGCAGGUUAGUGAUACCUUCCUGUUUAGUGGCUAAUUGCUAAACAGUCAAUUAUCUGCCCUGAAUUUACUCCUGCAGAAGGUCAGUGUUACAACCUCGGGGCUAUCAAGGACAUGUGAUCAAUCACAGUUGACCACCAAAGCGUAAAAGAAAGGUUGGCCAGCAGACUAACUAUAUAAACACACGCUAAAAUCCACACUCGGCGGCAAUCUUGUCUGGUGGAGGGCAAAUGUUCAGCUGGUGUGUUUUGUGUCUCACAGCAAAACUCCCAGUACAAACCAAUCACAGCUAAAUGACAUGAAACCCGAGUUCCCUCACAAGCAAAUGAGGCACACAAUCGUCUGCCAGUGUUCAUGCAUGUUUUUCAUGUAAGGAUUAUGUACCUUAAGGUAACCACGUGAUGUCAGAAUACGCCGAGGGGAAACACACUGAAUGCUUUUUAAAAAAUGUUUUAAUGCUACACUUGGCACUGACCCACAUACAUUUGCAGUAAAUUCAGUCUCAUGGAACUUCAUGAGCAUUAAAGCUGUGUCAGGCUAAAAGUCAAAGUCAUAAAAAAAAGCAUGAAAUUUAAAAAAAAAAGUAUAAAUAUAAAUAUCCAUACACCAUUGGAGAAAUGUACUUUAUUUUAUAAUGUGUAAAAUAGUCACAGAAAUAGCAAAAAUGUAUGUUUUAUUAAAUGUAUAACAUUUUUAAACUUCAAUAAAGUUGCCACGCACAUACACAUACACAGCUGUGUUUCCAUCACAUCAGCGGCCAUUACCUCGAAUUAUAUUAAUUGCCUAGAAACUUGGCCUCACCCUGUACCUACUGACAGCCCAACCAAAACCUUGAACCUGAAGCUCACUUUAUUUGAACUCUAAACAAACAAAUUGAGUCUCAUCCUAAAAUGUAUGUAUUUAUCGCUUAGUGAGUUAUGUUGUGGUCACUUGCAUCCUAGCAUGUGACUGUGUGCACCGAUUUGGUUGUUUCAUGUAAUCAUUUUUGUUCUCACAUUGUGCUCCAUGAAAAAAAGGCCGUUUCCAAAAAAGGAACGCACUCAUUAUCAUAUCAUAAACUAAAUAUAUGAACAAACCAGCCUGUGUCCCUCACCCUUCAUUUCUAUAAUCUCAAAUCUUCUUUUCCAUUCAUGACAGAUUUUAUCAUUCUUACAGCCGUUCUCACUUUCCUUGCUACAUCAUCCUGCACUCACUUCCAUUAACUUAAGUAUGUUUAAUAUCUCAAACAGACAUUUAUCACCCCUUAAUCAUGUCGCUACAUUCUUUUUUUGUGCCUCUCUCUCUCAGCCUCUGAUAUUUUAUCAAAUAAAAAGUGAUGACGCUAUUUAAGAUAAGGCUCAGGGGGCAUGCUGUCUAUCUCUGCUUCCACAAAAUCUGUAAUCUGUCUAAGGAGAUACAGAGAGCGCUUAAGAGUGACUUAGACUUUAUUGUAUAUGUAUUAAAAAAAACCCAGAUUUAUAAUCAGAGUGGUAGUGAUCUCUGAAGGGUGUACUCUGCCUUUCAACCAAAGACAGCUUGGACAGGGUUGAUAAGUUAAGACGAUGGAUAGAUGGAUGGAUAAAAUUUCUUCUGUAUAUUUUAAAUGCUGUUUUGGAAAAUCUAUGUGCUUUUUGAGUUGAAAAGAUCAAAUGGGUACACAACCCUUCAUAAAAGGGAUUAAACACAAACACAUUACUUAAUGACUGUGGAGAGCAUUGUUCAGAUUCAGGUUGGGUGUUUUUUAGCUGCCGCUAGAUUCACGUUCAUGAAACCAGUAUAAAAGUGGUAUAGAUUUUCCCAUCUAACGCCAAAAAGCACCUUCCCACAAAUAUUUCAGUUAUUUAGUGCGGCACGGUGAUGAAGCGGUUAGCGCUGGUGGCCUAGGCCUUUUUCAUAUGGGUUCUCUCUGUCCAAAGAAAUGCUUGUUCGGUUAACUGGCGCUUCUAAAAUAUGUCUGUCUCUCUGUUUUUUUGGCGCUGUGAUGGACUGGUGGCCUGUUAAGGGUCUUCAUGGCCUCACCCACUGUCAGCUGGGUCGGGGUUCAGCCUCCCAGCAACCCUGAGCUGGAUAAAUGAGACGGACGAGACUCCCAGUGUUUCCUGAGCCCUUUCCUCAAGCCACUAUCUUUUUAAAUAUGCUCCUUUCAACAGAUAAGUAUCACUGAUACGAUAUCACAUGAGAAAAAGGAAAUAAAACUGAGCUAUUAUGCGGUUCACAUUUUCUGUUACCCAAAGAAUUAUGGCUGUUUGUCUCUAGAUAGAAAAUGAGCUGCAAAAUUUCACAGAAACACGCACAUUAAAACACAUUCAGCCGUUCAGAUUUACAGGCUGCUUCCACAGUUUCGUACAGAGCGCUCUCUUAAAUACAUUUACAGAGCGACACCCGCAAUCUUAUCUUCCCCACACACAACGCACGAAAGACACAGUUUCGCCCACGAACUGGCGGAGCUGUUGUCAAAGCGCAGGCAGGAAAAACAAAGUCAGAACCUUGAGGUUUUUCUGUGACAGUAUGAAGCAGUUGUAUUUCACGGCAAGACGGAAUAACAUGGGAGCGCAGAUCACGCGUGUGUAUGUGCAUACUUUCUCAGCAUUUCUGGCUUCCCUGACUAAGAGUCUGAAAAGUAAGCUGUCUGCCUGGUCAUCCAAACAGUGGAAACAAUGUUAGCGCGACCGCAGCAUUUCCCCCACCUACCCAUUAAAAUUCACUCUUUCCAAUCCUCCAAACCUUAAACUCGACUGCAACACUAAUCCAUUUUACGUCCUAUGAGGAUUGGUUUCUGUAAUUCUCUUUUUCUGGCUUGCUAGGUUUUUUUUUUUCUUUUCAUUUUUUUGUUGGACCUCCUUGUUCACGGGGCAUCGUUUCGCCCCCCGUUUUGAAGUUCUUCCCCAUUUUUUUAGCCGUCCAAGCGGUACUGCUGACUCGUCUCUCGUGGGAUCGUGCCUGCUUUGAUUUGGAGCUCAGGUCGGAGCUCAGAAACCGCAGCUAAAACAAACACACGGCCUUGGCCACCACUGCACUGCACACGUACUACUACACACACACACACACACACACCUGGAAACACUAGCACUAAUUACUCCUGUCUGCUAGAAGUAAGGACCAAACCUAACUGUGAGUGCGUGUGAAGCCCUAGAAAGUAAAGGAGGAACUUUUGACUGGUUGUGUCUCAACACUGGCUUUUCCCUCCUCUUUUGCACACAUGCACACACACACAGACACACAGACACACACAAUGUCUUUCGCCCUGGUUCUGAUUUACCAGUCGUAUGUCACCCUUCCAAGCAGCAACCAACCCACCCCCCUUGCCACCACUCUGUGUGUGUGUGUGUGUGUGUGUGUGCUGGGAAGGCUGCAGAGCUGCAUAAAGGGCUCUUUAUUCGAGUCGGACAGGGAGAGGAAAUCAGCUUUAGAAAUAAAAACAGAAGGAGCAAGAGAGAGAUGGAGACCACAGGGCUGCACAUCUGGAGUUAUUACAAGGCUUCCUCCCGCUUGCCAAGAAAACGCCGACAUUCCUGCCCCUUUCUACAAAGACCACGGAGCCUCUCCUCUCAUCCAGGCUCACUCCUACAUGCACAAAUCCAUCACUCAUACUCAUAAUAUAUAUAUUUAUAUAUGUAUGCUCACAUGUAUCAAAAGCAGGGAUGCGCCGCAUUGAGAACACGCAAAUGCUUUGCGAAACACAUAAAUGCCUCCAUGUGAGAGCGCAAAUGCGUCCACAUACGCUUCCACUAAAAGGCUCCCUCCCUCUGCAGCUAGUCCUUCACUCCCUUUCCAAACUUUUACAACACGCAGGCCAAAUGAAUGUGUCUCACUUCCUGUUCACCUCUGACCUUCCACUUUCUCCUUGCAAGCCAGAAGAGGGAGACUGGAAAAGGAGGGGUGAACCAGACAGAGGGAGUGGAGAGAGAAAGAAGAGAGGAGAAAGGAAAAAUAGGGGGCCGGCGAGCUCCUCCUCUUUCUCUCUCCAUAUCUCCUCUCUCUCUCUCUCACUCCUUUUCUCCUUCUGUCUCUCGAAGGGAGAACUUGGUGGCCAGUCCCUUGCCACGUCGAACCUCCAGCCAGUCCACCUUGCCUGCUACCGGAGAUCCCCUUUGUCUUUUUCUUUUCUUUUUUUUUCUUUUUUUGCUCUAGGAGCAUUUGAACCCCAAUCAGCCAAGGUUUCCCUCAGCAGUGUGACAGCAGCGCUGAAUGAAAGAACAGGCAAAUUCAGCAAGGAUUUGGGAAAGAAGAAGCAUCACCUAACGCAGAAAGAUGCAAAGAAGUGAAACGAGAUCGCCAAGACGCAGAGCUCCGUGAGGGCUGUUGCUUUUCACAGCGGGAAACAGGAAGGAAUGUCACAGAAUCUGCCAAUCAGCGCCUAUCACCUCCGUCUAACCUCUCCCGCUCCUCCUCCUCCUCCACCACCACCACCUCCUCCUCCAUCCCUUCACGCGGCGUUUCUCCCCCAGCUCACUCAAUCAUCCCCGAUCGGCCCUUUGCGGCAGUCAGACUGCGAAGAUAAGCCAGGCCCCGGAGCCUGGCUGCAAUCACAGUGAGUACGAUUAAGAGUGUGUGUGGUGAUAUAUCUGAUUCUGAUUCUGAGCGCAUGAGUAAAGAGUCCUCCACAGCGCUACCCUUCAGCCGCCCGGCCCGCCUGCCCAGUGUUCAGACUACCUGUUCAGGAAGUAGUGGUUGUACAGUAGUCUGCACAUUGGUUAGGCUGGCCGGGGAAGCACAGGACGACUGCCUAAAAAAAGCAGGAUGGGGGGGUAAAAAAAAAAAAAAUGAGAGCACUCCAAAGGGCAUUCAGCAGGCACAAGCACAUCAGGCUGUGGGAACACGCAGCUGCACCACCCCUCGUCCAGCUGGACCAGCCCGGGCACGAGCCUAAAUAAAGCACCCAAAGGCUCCACCGCAGAAGGCCUAGCCCUCGCCCAGGAUGGAUUUAUGAGUGAUGGAGAAGUCCUAAAAUUUUGAAAGCAGACCCAUCAGGUUGUACUCUUAUUAAGCUAUAUCAUGUUUGUGUAACCAAGACCUGACUCUGCGACUCAGCUUGUGAAAAAUAUUUAAAAAUCGUCACAAUAAAGAGGCUUACGUUUUCAAUGUG